GACGAACGCUGGCGGCGUGCUUAACACAUGCAAGUCGAACGGAAAGGCCCUGCUUUUGUGGGGUGCUCGAGUGGCGAACGGGUGAGUAGCACGUGAGUAACCUGCCCUUGACUUUGGGAUAACUUCAGGAAACUGGGGCUAAUACCGGAUAGGAGCUCCUGCUGCAUGGUGGGGGUUGGAAAGUUUCGGCGGUUGGGGAUGGACUCGCGGCUUAUCAGCUUGUUGGUGGGGUAGUGGCUUACCAAGGCUUUGACGGGUAGCCGGCCUGAGAGGGUGACCGGCCACAUUGGGACUGAGAUACGGCCCAGACUCCUACGGGAGGCAGCAGUGGGAAAUAUUGCACAAUGGGCGGAAGCCUGAUGCAGCAACGCCGCGUGCGGGAUGACGGCCUUCGGGUUGUAAACCGCUUUCGCCUGUGACGAAGCGUGAGUGACGGUAAUGGGUAAAGAAGCACCGGCUAACUACGUG
rnacentral:rRNA from 1 species